UCGUCAUAAGUUUUUAGUAGAAAGAUUGAAAGUAAAAACACAAGAAAGAAAUUUUAAUGAUGGUCUAACUUUGAUUAAACACAAAAAAAAUACAAUUUUACAGCUUUCAAAAAUUAUACCACAAGUUUCUAUGGCAGUUGAAGUACUUCAGGAAAAAUAUCUGGGCGAGCCUAAAAAGGAACUAGCUAAUGAAGUUGACAACUAUAUAAAAGCAAAAAAUAAUAUAAAUAUGACCUACAAGAUGAUCAAAUCCUUAGAAAGACAGUUAAGUUAAAUCUUCUACCUAUACCCA